GGGUCAGUAGGUUGGUCGUGCCACCGGUACGUACUGGUCUCACUGAUUCCUCCUUCCUGAAGAACCGUAAUGCCAUUAAUUUGGUGUUGCGGGGAAACAGGACUGUUACUUUGAAAAAAUUAGAGUGUUUAAAGCAAGCUAACGCUUGAAUACAUUAGCAUGGAAUAAUGAAAUAGGACGAUCGAUGCUAUUUUGUUGGUUUCUAGGAUUGACGUA
rnacentral:rRNA from 1 species